UGAACGGGGGCUGGGAAGGCAUGCAGUCACCCACCACAGAGCACUUCCACCACGUACACAGAAGACAUGUCAACAGCCUGAAGAGCAGGAGUAACUGCAAGAUAGCACAAAAGAGAGAUGAGGAAACAGACACAGAGAAGGGAAGCAUGUUACCUGAGAUAACACAGUUGGCAUGAACUAUGGAACCAUAAUUCCAACCCAGGAAUUCUUCUUGUAACGACAUCACUCUACUACCUCUUAAUAAGUUUGCUUAUGUUAGCACAUUUCCAAAGAAGACUAAUGGAAUCAUCAUUUCUACAAACUCCACUGUGUCUCUUCUAUGCAAUUCUGAAAAAUAAAAUUAGAGACAUUGGAAAACAGAGAUAUUCUCAAAGCAAUAGCAUGGGUGUGUUAUCAUGCCAGCGAUGUUUGUAUGGACAAAAAUGACCAUCCAAGAAGAAAGUCAGAAUCCCCCAUCUCAGACCAGCAGGGUCUCGUCUGCAGCACCAUGGGAGCUUCUUCAUGCUGUGACAGGCUCCAAGAAACCAAGCCACAGCUCCCAUGCCCAGAGGUGGUCAUGACUCAAGUGAACUUCGCCUCCUGGGUAUCAAGGACAGUACUGGACACCAUCACCACAUUGAACCAUACCGGCCCUCUGUCCAACUGCACAUCCCCUGCCCUGAGAACCCAAUCAGAUUCCACCUGAUCUCCCUGUGGACUGCAGUGAUCCAUCACCUCAUCAGGACACACAGACAGAUGCACAGGUGCGCGGGCACAGCAGAAUCACAAGAAGGAUCCCACUGGCUAACUGGACCUGAACUCAAAACCCAGCCUGAGAGCCAUUUGCUGACUG